GGGUUGGUUGCUGGAAGUCAGGGCUAUGGGGAGAGCUCUAAGCAGCCAGCUGGAGGACAGGCAUCGCUUAUGACAAAAGAGCUGGAUUUGGAGGUGCCUAGCAGGAAGUUUUCCAAAGAGAUAGCAGAGCUCCAGGGGACCGUGAGUGAGCUGUGGACAUCUGCCAUGCCACAGGGCACCAAUGCCCUUUUACAAUCCCUCCACUCAACUCUACAAGAAAGGUGCUGUUGCAAUUCUCUUUUUACAAAUUGGAAUGUUAGGCAAACUUGCCUGAAAGCCAUACAGCUGGU
rnacentral:lncRNA from 1 species